GACGGAGGGUGCUAGCGUUGUUCGGAAUUACUGGGCGUAAAGGGCGCGUAGGCGGCCUGGUCAGUCGGGUGUGAAAGCCCGGGGCUCAACCCCGGAACGGCACCCGAGACGGCCAGGCUGGAGACCGGGAGAGGAGGGUGGAAUAGCCAGUGUAGAGGUGAAAUUCGUAGAUAUUGGCUGGAACACCGGUGGCGAAAGCGGCUCUCUGGCCCGGUUCUGACGCUGAGGCGCGAAAGCGUGGGGAGCAAACAGG
rnacentral:rRNA from 3 species